rnacentral:miRNA from 1 species
UUGCAAUAGAAUUCGUCCGACAAGG